rnacentral:tRNA from 1 species
GGGCGCGUAGCUCAGUCCGGUAGAGCAAUGCCCUUUUAAGGCAUGGGUCGAAGGUUCGAAUCCUUCCGCGCUCACCA